GCGAAAUGGAGCCAAUGCUUAAAGGCGGCGGAAAGAUUUCCGAUGUAUGCUCGACUG
rnacentral:sRNA from 1 species